rnacentral:rRNA from 1 species
AGCUCCAAUAGCGUAUAUUAAAGUUGUUGCGGUUAAAAAGCUCGUAGUUGGAUCUCAGAGAGGCGCUCGUGGUGGGCCCGCGCGGUCAUACUGCGUUCGCCUUUCACCGACCGCUGGUGGCGAGUGCCCUUCGCUGGGUGUUCGUUCUACCGCGGCCACGUUUACUUUGAAAAAAUUAGAGUGUUCAAAGCAGGCGGUCACCGCCCGCAUACCCCAGCAUGGAAUAAUGGAAUAGGAGGCCGGUUCUAUUUUGUUGGUUUUCGGAGUCCGGCCUAAUGGUUAAAAGGGACGGCCGGGGGCAUUCGUAUUGCGCCGUUAGAGGUGAAAUUCUAAGAUCGGCGCAAGACGAACAAGUGCGAAAGCAUUUGCCAAGAAUGUUUUCAUUAAUCAAGAACGAAAG